AUUUCUACUGUUAUUAUGUGAAGGUGCUGUCAGAUUGUUUUUAAAGAUUUCUUUGCAUUGAACGGCCAUCGAAAAUAGUGAGAAUCUUCAUCAAAGAGGGAGGAAAUGAGUUUAUUCUUCAUCUCUUAGGAGGAUUUUACUUAUCCCUCUUAGGUAUCUAUCCUCUCUUAUUUGUUCUCUUUCAGCCGUAGAGUAGCCUUUCUUC
rnacentral:lncRNA from 1 species